ACGAACGCUGGCGGCGUGCCUAACACAUGCAAGUCGAACGAGAAAGGGGCUUCGGCUCCGAGUAAAGUGGCGCACGGGUGAGUAAUACGUGGGUAACCUGCCUCUAAGACCGGGACAACUUGUCGAAAGACGAGCUAAUACCGGAUAAGACCACAGUUCCCGAGGGGACAGGGGUCAAAGGUAGCCUCUAUUUAUAAGCAAUCACUUAGAGAUGGGCCCGCGCACCAUUAGCUAGUUGGUGGGGUAAUGGCCACCAAGGCAAAGAUGGUUAGCUGGUCUGAGAGGAUGAUCAGCCACACUGGAACUGAGACACGGUCCAGACUCCUACGGGAGGCAGCAGUGGGGAAUAUUGCGCAAUGGGCGAAAGCCUGACGCAGCAACGCCGCGUGAGUGAUGAAGGUCCC
rnacentral:rRNA from 1 species